rnacentral:rRNA from 1 species
CAGCAGCCGCGGGAAUACGAAGGGGGCUAGCGUUGUUCGGAUUUACUGGGCGUAAAGCGCACGUAGGCGGACUUUUAAGUCAGGGGUGAAAUCCCGGGGCUCAACCCCGGAACUGCCUUUGAUACUGGAAGUCUUGAGUAUGGUAGAGGUGAGUGGAAUUCCGAGUGUAGAGGUGAAAUUCGUAGAUAUUCGGAGGAACACCAGUGGCGAAGGCGGCUCACUGGACCAUUACUGACGCUGAGGUGCGAAAGCGUGGGGAGCAAACAGGAUUAGAUACCCCAGUAGUCCCUGUCUCUUAUAC